GUACCAUUGCAUGGAUUUUCGCAGCUAUAUGCAGCCCUCCUCUUUCAUUGGUGAACUUUACUUACAGAAUGAUAGAUAACAGAGUUAUUUCUUUUAUUGGACUGGGCACAUUUGAAAUUGAACAUUCUCACUUGUGCUUGGUGUUUUCGUGCUCGUAUUUCAUGCAUUUCAUGUACUAGUGUGAUUUAAUCAGAAUUGUGUGCGUUUUUUCUUUUUUUUUUUUUUCUAAAACCGUUCAAAAUGAAUGGUGGUAUGAGAUCCUGUUUUAAGCUGUACUCCAAAUCGAUUUUAUCAAAUUUGAAACAAAAUGUCCAGCCGGAAAUGGCGAAACAACGAUUGUACAGCACUUUUUUGAUAACUAUUGGCCCAAAAGUCAACAAUUUCAAGUCUAUUCUUGAUCGCAGUUUCUCCUCGUCCUCGGUACAAUUACUACAAUUUUCUACUGAAAUUAUUACCUCACCAGUUGAAAAGAAAUUACUGGCGCAUGUAGAACAAGAAAUCGUCCAACCCCAAGGAGAGGAAAAAUCAGACUCUAAAGUUUGCGGUUUCGAUAAAACAGUAGACGGGAGUUUUCUUAUUUUUAGCAAGUAUCUUCCCAAUGAAAAAAUUUCGGUCACAUUUAACACCAAUCAUCAUAUAGAGGUUGAAGAUCACAAGCAACCCAUUGGCAAUGAGACUGACGGCGAACCUUUCAGAUAUAAAGUAAACCCGAACUUCAGAGUUGAAAUCAUAAGAAAGCGUACUUCCCUAGGUUUUGAUUGCAUCCUUACACGAAAUAAUACGAAUGAAAAUCACAUUCAAGAUGAUCGCUUCGAUGAUGGUUACGUAAGUGCUGGAAAAUAUGAUACGAGUUCUGAUGCUGGUUGUAAUCAGAAGACCGCAACAAGUUCCGAACAUGAUGAAAAGUCGCAGCCAAGACCUCUCCGGGCUCUCCGUAAGCUUGCAUACACAUUUUUGAGUGUUUUUUGAAUUUUGAGUGAUGACUCGACUCAAGGAUAAAUUUGAAAAAAUUUCCAAAAACGGUACCUACUCAUCUAAACGUAUUUUUAGAAGAAAUAAAAUAAAAUUCUGUCUGCCGGAAUUAAGAUUUGAAGAUAUAACGAUUUUAAAUUUUCUUUGGUCAAUGUCUCUCCCCCUGGGGGUUCCAAAAAAUUUUGAAAAAAUUCUCGUCAUUCAAAACUCGUUAAACUAUGAUUUUUUCUCUGAACAAAAAAAAACGUUUAUUGG